rnacentral:rRNA from 1 species
CCUACGGGAGGCAGCAGUGAGGAAUAUUGGUCAAUGGACGAGAGUCUGAACCAGCCAAGUAGCGUGAAGGAUGACUGCCCUAUGGGUUGUAAACUUCUUUUAUAAAGGAAUAAAGCGAGGCACGUGUGCCUUUUUGCAUGUACCUUAUGAAUAAGGAUCGGCUAACUCCGUGCCAGCAGCCGCGGUAAUACGGAGGAUCCGAGCGUUAUCCGGAUUUAUUGGGUUUAAAGGGUGCGUAGGUGGGUUGUUAAGUCAGUUGUGAAAGUUUGGGGCUCAACCUUAAAAUUGCAGUUGAUACUGGGAGGCUUGAGUAGAGUUGAGGUAGGCGGAAUUCGUGGUGUAGCGGUGAAAUGCUUAGAUAUCACGCAGAACCCCGAUUGCGAAGGCAGCUUACUAAACUGUGACUGACAUUGAUGCACGAAAGUGUGGGUAUCAAACAGGAUUAGAUACCCGUGUAGUC